rnacentral:rRNA from 1 species
AGUGAACGCUGGCGGUAGGCCUAACACAUGCAAGUCGAACGGCAGCACAGUAAGAGCUUGCUCUUACGGGUGGCGAGUGGCGGACGGGUGAGGAAUACAUCGGAAUCUACUUUUUCGUGGGGGAUAACGUAGGGAAACUUACGCUAGUACCGCAUACGACCUACGGGUGAAAGCAGGGGAUCUUCGCACCUUGCGCGAUUGAAUGAGCCGAUGUCGGAUUAGCUAGUUGGCGGGGUAAAGGCCCACCAAGGCGACGAUCCGUAGCUGGUCUGAGAGGAUGAUCAGCCACACUGGAACUGAGACACGGUCCAGACUCCUACGGGAGGCAGAGGUGGGGAAUAUUGGACAAUGGGCGCAAGCCUGAUCCAGCCAUACCGCGUGGGUGAAGAAGGCCUUCGGGUUGUAAAGCCCUUUUGUUGGGAAAGAAAAGCAGCAGGUUAAGACCCCGCUGUUCUGACGGUACCCAAAGAAUAAGCACCGGCUAACUUCGU